rnacentral:rRNA from 1 species
UACGAGUUGUGCAAGUAUUAUGCAAUUUGCCUGGGUGUAUAGGGGGUGUAGGUUGUCAUUUAAUAGUAGUGUAAAAAAUAAUAGUCUAUUAGUAACUUACUUAUUUUUUUGACUUGAAUAAAUAUUAUGUUUUAUAUAUUAUACUAUGCGAGAAUUAGUCAAUGUUGACCAUAGUAGAAUAACCAAAAGAGAAGUCAUAUAACUAAAUAUUUAUUGACGCUGAGAUCCGAAAGCUUGGGGAGCGAAUGAG